AUAUGGUCAAUGGCCUUAACGGCUGAACCAGCACUUGGAGGAUGUAUAGGGAAAGCUGGUAAAAUGCGAUGUACCUAGUAGUAUUAGUAAUUAAUAUGAUAUUAACUAAGUUAAUUAAAAUUCAAAGUAAAUAUUGAUUAUGACAGUGUUUGCUUAUGUCUUGACCAAAUCACGUGCCAGCAGUCGCGGUAAUACGUGGAAGAUAAGUGUUAUUCAUGUUUAACAGGUUUAAAGGGUACCUAGACGGUUAAUUAAACACUUAAAUGUAUUAAUUAACUAGAGUUUGAUAUAGGAAGGAUUGAGUACGGUGAGUGAAGAGAUAAAAUUCUAUUAGACCACUAAGGAACUGGUAAAGGCGAAGGCAACCUUGUAUGUAAAAACUGACGUUAAGGGACGAAGGCUCAUGUUAAAAAAUAGGAUUAGAGACCCUAGUAUUUUGGGCAGACAAUGAUGAGUGUCAUAUGCAAGAGAAUAGAAAAAAUAGAAAUUUUUGUGUAUAAAUGAAAGUGUAAGCACUCCACCUCAAGAGUAACGUGGCAACACGGGAACUGAAAUCAUUAGACCGUUUCUGAAACUCGUAGUGAAGUAUGUUGUUUAAUUUGAUAAUCCACAAAUAACCUUACCACAAUUUGUAUAACAUCGGCUUUAAGAUGUAACAAGUGUUGCACGGCUGUCUUCAGUCAAUGUUGUGAAACUGUGGUUAGAUCCAUGGAAUUGACGAAAACCCUUGCUUUAUUUAUUAUAAAGUAGUUCGCCGCUAUAUUGGUAGUGAUAUAUGGGACUAAGACAAGUCAUCAUGACCUGAACAUUGUGGGCUAUAGACGUGCCACAUUACCCUUAACAAAAAGAUGCAAAAUUGCGAAAUUUAGCUAAUCUAUAAAGAGGAAAUAAUACCGGAUUGUAGUCG
rnacentral:rRNA from 1 species